GGCGUACAGGACGAACGGCUGGCGGCGUGCUAACACAUGCAAGUCGAGCGAGGAGAUCCUUCGGGAUGAUCCUAGCGGCGGACGGGUGAGUAACACGUGGGCAACCUGCCUCAUAGAGAGGAAUAGCCUUCCGAAAGGGAGAUUAAUACCUCAUAACAUUGCAGUUUCGCAUGGAACAGCAAUUAAAGGAGUAAUCCGCUAUGAGAUGGGCCCGCGGCGCAUUAGCUAGUUGGUGAGGUAACGGCUCACCAAGGCGACGAUGCGUAGCCGACCUGAGAGGGUGAUCGGCCACAUUGGGACUGAGACACGGCCCAGACUCCUACGGGAGGCAGCAGUGGGGAAUAUUGCACAAUGGGGGAAACCCUGAUGCAGCCAACGCCGCGUGAGUGAUGACGGCCUUCGGGUUGUAAAGCUCUGUCUUCAGGGACGAUAAUGACGGUACCUGAGGAGGAAGCCACGGCUAACUACGUGCCAGCAGCUGC
rnacentral:rRNA from 1 species